UACGUAGGCAGCGAGCGUUGUUCGGAGUUACUGGGCGUAAAGGGUGUGUAGGCGGUUCUUUUAAGUCGGGUGUGAAAGCCCCGGGCUCAACCUGGGAAUUGCAUUCGAGACUGAAUAGCUAGGGUACGGUAGAGGGAAGUGGAAUUUCCGGUGUAGCGGUGAAAUGCGUAGAUAUCGGAAGGAACAUCAGUGGCGAAAGCGACUUCCUGGACCAGUACCGACGUCAGGCACGAAAGCGUGGGGAGCAAACAGG
rnacentral:rRNA from 1 species